rnacentral:lncRNA from 1 species
AAGAUUAAGUUUACCAUUAGCUAUGCAGAAAGUCUCUAAGUGGCUCCUGCCUUGGAAUCAGGUGUUGGGUCUCGCUGCCACUGAGAGCCCGGGGGUGCCCAAGUGCACAGCAUGAACCAGGCACAACAUAUCCCUCAGACAACCAGAGCAGUGCAGAGCCCUCGUCAUCGGAAAAUAAGAACUUUCACUACUCUCAAGAUUAAUGAUAACAUCACCAGUUGUUCUGCAACAUGG